GACGAACGCUGGCGGCGUGCUUAACACAUGCAAGUCGAACGGACAGGCCCUGCUCUUGUGGGUUGCUCGAGUGGCGCACGCGUGAGUAUCACGUGAGUAUCCUCCCCUUGACUGUGGGAUAUCUUCAGGAAACUGGGGCUCAUACCGGAUAUGAGCUCCUGCUGCAUGUUGGUGGAUGGAAAGUUUCGGCGGUUGUGGAUGGACUCGCGGCUUAUCAGCUUGAUGGUGUGGUAGUUGCGUACCAAGCCUUUGACGGGUAGCCGGCCUGAGAGGGUGACCGGCCACAUUGGGACUGAGGUACGGCCCAGAAGGCUACGGGACGCAGCAGUGGAGAGUAUUGCGGAAUGGGCGGAAGCCUGAUGCAGCGACGCCGCGUGCGGGAUGACGGGCUUCGGGUUGUAAACCGCUUUCGCCGGUGACGAAGCGUGAGUGACGGUAAUGGGUAAAGAAGCACCGGCUAACUACGUG
rnacentral:rRNA from 1 species